rnacentral:rRNA from 1 species
CCCUUAGAUGUCCUGGGCCGCACGCGCGCUACACUGAUGCAUUCAACGAGUUUUACCUUGGCCGAGAGGCCUGGGCAAUCUUUUAAACCUGCAUCGUGAUAGGGAUAGAUUAUUGCAAUUAUUAAUCUUGAACGAGGAAUUCCUAGUAAACGCAGAUCAUCAAUCUGCAUUGAUUACGUCCCUGCCCUUUGUACACACCGCCCGUCGCUCCUACCGAUUGGAUGGUCCGGUGAAGCCUCGGGAUUGUGGCGGUUGCCUUUAUUGGUGUCCGCCGCGAGAACUUGUCUAAACCUUAUCAUCUAGAGGAAGGUGAAGUCGUAACA